UACGUAGGGUGCGAGCGUUAAUCGGAAUUACUGGGCGUAAAGCGUGCGCAGGCGGUUUUGUAAGCCAGAUGUGAAAUCCCCGGGCUUAACUUGGGAAUUGCGCUCGAAACUACGUGGCUGGAGUGUGGCAGAGGAAGGUGGAAUUCCACGUGUAGCGGUGAAAUGCGUAGAUAUGUGGAGGAACACCGAUGGCGAAGGCAGCCUUCUGGGCCAACACUGACGCUCAUGCACGAAAGCGUGGGGAGCAAACAGG
rnacentral:rRNA from 1 species